GCUUCCAUAGCUCAGCAGGUAGAGCACUUCCAUGGUAAGGAAGAGGUCAGCGGUUCGAUCCCGCUUGGAAGCU
rnacentral:tRNA from 4 species